UUCCAGUUAGGUUAGGAGUGGCUUUCAUUAUGUCCUUGAGACUUAUUUGUUGUCUUACUUUAGUUUCAUCCAUUUUGGUUUCAUGCAUCAUAAAAAAAAAAAGUAUGAUUCACAUCAAUUGUGAGGGUCUCUCAAUGUGGAACAAAAAAUUGCUGGUGUAUAACUAUAACACCUUGUGACCAGAUGCCAACUUGGCCGUGUGAGACACUCGAUGCCCAGUGCUGUAUCCUUCUAUAGAUACUAUUUUGUCAAUAGUAACGAGCGGUACCGUGGAUAGAUAAGAUUGUUCAGUGUGGUAUGUCGGUUGAAAACAUAUGUACGAUUAACCAUGAAUAACGAUAGGUCAUCAUUGCUAACAUUAAUGCAUAUUCAUCAGGAUUUCAGUAUGAAUAUGGACAAAGUAAUGGAGAAAUUUGUUUCUACUAAGACCUGAAGAGCAGAUUUUGGACAAUUUGAAUAAAUUUUUUGUAUUCAAUGUACCAUAAUUUACCCUAUUCAAAAGAAUUCUAAAUAGGUUUGCAUUAAUGGAUGUCUAUAAGUUCUAUGCGCACAACCUUCCUAUGACCGAAAACAUACGGGAAAAAAAAUCUGCAUAAAUUGGUCUCGAAAAUUUUUCAUUUUAUCCUAGCUAUGCCCUGUAAGUGAUUUGUUAUUCUAUUAUUUUUUUUUAACUAGUUUUAAGAAGACUUAUUUGAAAAAGUAUUUGCAGAGAUUGUCCUAUCUCAAUUUUACCUGAUGUUGAUCUGAAUGAUGAACAAAUGACUGUCAUACACUUCUCAUUUAUUAUACUUUAAAGAUGUUUAAUUUAUUUUUUUAAGAUUGGUGAAACAUUUUGAAGAGACAAAUAGUUUUUGUAACAAGUUAAAAUCUCU
rnacentral:lncRNA from 1 species